rnacentral:rRNA from 1 species
GAUGAACGCUAGCUACAGGCUUAACACAUGCAAGUCGAGGGGCAGCAUGGUCUUAGCUUGCUAAGGCCGAUGGCGACCGGCGCACGGGUGAGUAACACGUAUCCAACCUGCCGUCUACUCUUGGACAGCCUUCUGAAAGGAAGAUUAAUACAAGAUGGCAUCAUGAGUCCACAUGUUCACAUGAUUAAAGGUAUUCCGGUAGACGAUGGGGAUGCGUUCCAUUAGAUAGUAGGCGGGGUAACGGCCCACCUAGUCUUCGAUGGAUAGGGGUUCUGAGAGGAAGGUCCCCCACAUUGGAACUGAGACACGGUCCAAGCUCCUACGGGAGGCAGCAGUGAGGAAUAUUGGUCAAUGGGCGAGAGCCUGAACCAGCCAAGUAGCGUGAAGGAUGACUGCCCUAUGGGUUGUAAACUUCUUUUAUAAAGGAAUAAAGUCGGGUAUGGAUACCCGUUUGCAUGUACUUUAUGAAUAAGGAUCGGCUAACUCCGUGCCAGCAGCCGCGGUAAUACGGAGGAUCCGAGCGUUAUCCGGAUUUAUUGGGUUUAAAGGGAGCGUAGAUGGAUGUUUAAGUCAGUUGUGAAAGUUUGCGGCUCAACCGUAAAAUUGCAGUUGAUACUGGAUAUCUUGAGUGCAGUUGAGGCAGGCGGAAUUCGUGGUGUAGCGGUGAAAUGCUUAGAUAUCACGAAGAACUCCGAUUGCGAAGGCAGCCUGCUAAGCUGCAACUGACAUUGAGGCUCGAAAGUGUGGGUAUCAAACAGGAUUAGAUACCCUGGUAGUCCACACGGUAAACGAUGAAUACUCGCUGUUUGCGAUAUACAGCAAGCGGCCAAGCGAAAGCGUUAAGUAUUCCACCUGGGGAGUACGCCGGCAACGGUGAAACUCAAAGGAAUUGACGGGGGCCCGCACAAGCGGAGGAACAUGUGGUUUAAUUCGAUGAUACGCGAGGAACCUUACCCGGGCUUAAAUUGCAGAUGAAUUACGGUGAAAGCCGUAAGCCGCAAGGCAUCUGUGAAGGUGCUGCAUGGUUGUCGUCAGCUCGUGCCGUGAGGUGUCGGCUUAAGUGCCAUAACGAGCGCAACCCUUGUUGUCAGUUACUAACAGGUUCCGCUGAGGACUCUGACAAGACUGCCAUCGUAAGAUGUGAGGAAGGUGGGGAUGACGUCAAAUCAGCACGGCCCUUACGUCCGGGGCUACACACGUGUUACAAUGGGGGGUACAGAGGGCCGCUACCACGCGAGUGGAUGCCAAUCCCAAAAACCUCUCUCAGUUCGGACUGGAGUCUGCAACCCGACUCCACGAAGCUGGAUUCGCUAGUAAUCGCGCAUCAGCCACGGCGCGGUGAAUACGUUCCCGGGCCU